rnacentral:rRNA from 1 species
GAUUUCUGGUUUAAUUUACCUGUCCCGCUGGGGUAACUCAUGUGAGUGACGGAGUAAGUUUACCAUCCUUCUAGAGAAUACAAGCUAUCCUUCACUGGACCGGUUUGUAUCAUCUAGAUCUUUUACUUUGAAAAAAUUAGAGUGUUUCAAGCAGGCGUUUUGCUAUGAAUACAUUAGCAUGGAAUAAUGAGUUAGGACUUCGGUUCUAUUUUGUUGGUUUCUAGGACUGAAGUAAUGAUUGAUAGGGAUAGUUGGGGGUGCUAGUAUUCAGCGGCCAGAGGUGAAAUUCUUGGAUUCGCUGAAGACUAACUUAUGCGAAAGCAUU